UACGAAGGGGCCUAGCGUUGUUCGGAAUCACUGGGCGUAAAGCGCACGUAGGCGGAUGUGUCAGUCAGGGGUGAAAUCCCGGGGCUCAACCUCGGAACUGCCUUUGAUACAGCACGUCUCGAGUCCGGAAGAGGUGGGUGGAAUUCCUAGUGUAGAGGUGAAAUUCGUAGAUAUUCGGAAGAACACCAGUGGCGAAGGCGGCUCACUGGCCCGGUACUGACGCUGAGGUGCGAAAGCGUGGGGAGCAAACAGG
rnacentral:rRNA from 1 species